rnacentral:rRNA from 1 species
AGCCUCCACGGGGGGCAGCAGUAGGGAAUAUUGCUCAAUGGGAGAAACCCUGAAGCAGCAACGCCGCGUGGAGGAUGAAGGUUUUAGGAUUGUAAACUCCUUUUGUAAGAGAAGAUUAUGACGGUAUCUUACGAAUAAGCACCGGCUAACUCCGUGCCAGCAGCCGCGGUAAUACGGAGGGUGCAAGCGUUACUCGGAAUCACUGGGCGUAAAGAGCGUGUAGGCGGGUGGUCAAGUCAGAUGUGAAAUACUGUAGCUUAACUACAGAACUGCAUUUGAAACUGAUCAUCUAGA